rnacentral:rRNA from 1 species
CUGACCGUGCAAAGGUAGCGUAAUCACUUGUCUCUUAAAUAGAGACUAGUAUGAAUGGCGUCACGAGGGCUUAACUGUCUCCCCUCUAAAGUCAAUGAAAUUGAUCUCCCCGUGCAGAAGCGGGGAUAAGCUCGUAAGACGAGAAGACCCUAUGGAGCUUAAGAUUUAAAGCAGCCCACAUCGACCCCUUCCCCCCCCAGGAAACAAACAGACUGGCCCUUGCUGACAUAUCUUCGGUUGGGGCGACCACGGGGAAAAACAAAACCCCCACAUGGACCGGGGCCACUCACCCUAAAACAUAGACCCACAGGUCAAGUCAACAGUACUUCUGACCACCAAUGACCCGGCACAAGCCGAUCAAUGAACCUAGUUACCCUAGGGAUAACAGCGCAAUCCUCUCCGACAGCCCUUAUCGACGAGGGGGUUUACGACCUCGAUGUUGGAUCAGGACAUCCUAAUGGUGCAGCCGCUAUUAAGGGUUCGUUGUCAACGAAUUAAAUGCCUACGUGAUCUGAGUUCAGACCGGAG